AGAGUUUGAUUAUGGCUCAGAAUGAACGCUGGCGGCAUGGGAUUAGGCAUGCAAGUCGAACGGGUCCCUUCGGGGACUAGUGGCGCAAGGGUGAGUAACACGUGAGCAACCUGCCCCCGAAUCCGGAAUAAUCCAGGGAAACUUUGGUCUAAAACCGGAUGUCGGCGUUUUACCCGCAUGGGUUUCCGCCGAAAUAUUCAGUAGUUUCGGGGAUGGGCUCGCGUCCCAUUAGCUGGUUGGCGGGGUAACGGCCCACCAAGGCUACGACGGGUAGGUGGUCUGAGAGGAUGGUCACCCACACUGGGACUGAGACACUGCCCAGACUCCUACGGGAGGCUGCAGUCGAGAAUCUUCCGCAAUGGGCGCAAGCCUGACGGAGCGAUGCCGCGUGAGGGAAGAAGGCCUUCGGGUUGUAAACCUCUGUCACCCGGGUACGAAAUCAAUGACGGUACCGGGAAAGGAAGCCACGGCUAACCACGUGCCAGCCGCAGC
rnacentral:rRNA from 1 species